GGCGGGUCUCCCCGCAUUGUGGAGCGGUGAAUCUGGUCAGGUCCGGAAGGAAGCAGCCACAGCCAUUUCUGCAAGUGCCGGGGAUCAGGCUCGCCGCC
rnacentral:SRP_RNA from 2 species